UACGUAGGGUGCAAGCGUUGUCCGGAAUUAUUGGGCGUAAAGAGCUCGUAGGCGGUCUGUCGCGUCUGCUGUGAAAACUCAGGGCUUAACCCUGAGCUUGCAGUGGGUACGGGCAGACUAGAGUGCGGUAGGGGAGACUGGAAUUCCUGGUGUAGCGGUGGAAUGCGCAGAUAUCAGGAGGAACACCGGUGGCGAAGGCGGGUCUCUGGGCCGAUACUGACGCUGAGGAGCGAAAGCGUGGGGAGCGAACAGG
rnacentral:rRNA from 1 species